GUGGGGAAUAUUGGACAAUGGGCGAAAGCCUGAUCCAGCCAUGCCGCGUGUGUGAAGAAGGACUUCGGAUUGUAAAGCACUUUAAGUUGGGAGGAAGGGCAGUAAGUUAAUACCUUGCUGUUUUGACGUUACCGACAGAAUAAGCACCGGCUAACUUCGUGCCAGCAGCCGCGGUAAUACGAAGGGUGCAAGCGUUAAUCGGAAUUACUGGGCGUAAAGCGCGCGUAGGUGGUUCAGCAAGUUGAAGGUGAAAUCCCCGGGCUCAACCUGGGAACUGCCUCCAAAACUGCAUGACUAGAGUACGGUAGAGGGUAGUGGAAUUUCCUGUGUAGCGGUGAAAUGCGUAGAUAUAGGAAGGAACACCAGUGGCGAAGGCGACUACCUGGACUGAUACUGACACUGAGGUGCGAAAGCGUGGGGAGCAAACAGGAUUAGAUACCCCUGUAGUCC
rnacentral:rRNA from 1 species